GCGCGGCGAUGGCACGUUGGAAACUCCAGCUCCCAAUAGAUCACUGAAGUUAAGGGACAUUGAGUGUGGUUGGUAUCAGAAUAAGUGACCAUUUGGGCACUUGUGUGCUGCUGGCU
rfam:Asian citrus Psyllid, Diaphorina citri - Florida Strain, whole genome shotgun sequence.